CGUCAUUCAAACACCAGCAGCAUGUGUGCACACGUGUUCAGAGCUCAGAGCAACUAUUUAAACUUUCUUACAUUGAAGGGUGUUAAGUUGUUACAUGUUCACUGAAGUAGAUUCUUUAUUUAGACUCUAAAGGACCAGUAGGUGCAGGAGCUACGCUUCACUGCUCUCACCGUGUGGUGCAUAUAAACAACACAAUUAGUACUGCAAUACAGUAUGUGCACCACUACAGUAUAGACUUACUGCAUGUGUCAAUUACCUUGCAUUGGUCAUUAGCAAUGUUGGAUUUUCUUCUAACAAGUAGGAGGACCUUGUUUUGUCAACCUCCGUUUCCUUGAUUAACAGUAAACUGUCAAACUGUCCAACGGGCCUGACUGUCAUGGAAACUUUGUACAUAUGCAUUUCCAUGGCAACUGAGCCAACCCAGUGUACUAGCGAGGAUCGUGUGACGUGGUCAAAAGAGCAAGUGUGAACGAGCAGGCUGCGACUAAACGGUCUCAAAGCAAUCCAUUUCCCUCAAUUUCAGGUCUUGAGGCUUGCCACUGUGGACCACGAGAUCAAUAUUUGCCAAGUUUAAACCACAGGAUUAUCUGUCUGUCAGGGUUCCCAACAGAAGCUCUCAGCUGUGACAUAAAUCUUGGACUGUCCUCCGCUGUUUGAGAAGGUCACACCCCAAAACUGCCUUUGUUGUGUUGUAAACCUAACGUACGGAUCAACUAGUCCAUGAAGCGGAUCACUGUGCAGAUGUGCACAGUACAAUGCUGCGGGAAUUUUCCAUUUGUUUUUGAUUUAGUUCUUUGCAUGUGGAAACAUCCUUUCAUAUAAACAUCUUUGACAACUUUCAGUGCAUCUAAUAGGGGUAAAGGUUGAUCUAAUAUGCCUAUUUGAACCUGCUUGGUUAAUUAUU
rnacentral:lncRNA from 1 species